rnacentral:misc_RNA from 1 species
AACGCACCUUGCGCUCCUUGGUAUUCCGAGGAGCAUGCCUGUUUGAGUGUCAUUAAAUUCUCAACCUUAUUAGCUUUUGCUGAUAAUGGCUUGGAUGUGGGGGUUUAUUUGCUGGCUUCUUCAUGAGAUCAGCUCCCCUUAAAUGCAUUAGCUGGUUGCCUUGUGCAGACUUGUCUAUUGGUGUGAUAAUUAUCUACGCCGUGGUCAGUCUGCCUGUCUUUAGCACCGCUUCUAACUGUCUGUUUACUCGGACACUUUAUGACAAUUUGACCUCAAAUCAGGUAGGACUACCCGCUGAACUUAA